UGAAACUAUUGAAGUCAACCCAGGUGAUUACUGCACACAAGACAUUUGUGACAAGAAGCUAUCAAUUGUUCUGUUCGUUACUAAAAUAGAACUAGUUUGUGCCAUUUUGAAUGAAAAAUAGUUCGUAUGCUUCUCAAAUCUCUCAUUGCAGAUCACUUUUUGACAAUCCAAAUUGGGCACAUGUAAGCCCUACUUGUAGUUUACUAUCAUGUUGACUGUACUGUGUCAUGUUGGGCUCCUGAAAUAUAUUUUGUAAUGACAGUUAGUCAAAGUUUCUCUUGUGAAUGUGCAUAAUGUUGGUUAUCCUGUAAGUAUCUUUUGGUAUUUCCUGUUCUUAUUCACUAACUGUCUGUAUCACGUGUAAGAACUGAUUUUGAGAGAGAGUACCGAUUGACUGAGUGUAGCAACACUGGGACAUACGAGUUGUUACAUAACAGACUUGCAUAUCUUACUGGAACAGAGAAAUAGGGAGAUAAAGGUAUAGAAAUAGACUGGGUUGAGAAAGAAAUAGAAAGGGAAGAAAAUUAG
rnacentral:misc_RNA from 1 species